ensembl:lncRNA
CGGGAAUGUUAAAAAUUUUUUUUUUUAAUCUUUUCAUCUUCAACUGCUGGUUCAAAACGUUUCAAUAGAAUUGUGCGUACACAUCACAUACUUGUGAAGCAAAUAUAUAACACCUGAACAAACGGUUGGCAACAGAAGAGAUCAGAAAGGCACAGGGGAGGCAUAAUAAGGAUUCUAAGAAUUACAGCCCUGGGGCCACAAUGAGUGCUGGUCGAGGCUUGACUGUUUUGUUAACCAUUUUGGUUGCUGUUGCAAAAGCAGAAACUAUGGCAACGACAACAGAAACUACGGCAACGACAACAGAAACUGCGGCUCCAACAACUGGUUCAACUGCAGUAACAACAACAGAAACUGCGGCAACAACAACAACAACAGAAACUGCGGCUACAACAACUGGUUCAACUGCAUCAAUAACAACAGAAACUGCGGCUACAACAACUGGUUCAACAGCAGUAACAACAACAGAAACUGCAGCAACAACAACAACAGAAACUGCAUCGACAACAACUGGUUCAACUGCAGUAACAACAACAGAAACUGCGGCAACAACAACUGGUUCAACUGCAGUAACGACAACAGAAACUGCGGCAACAACAACAACAGAAACUGCGGCUACAACAACUGGUUCAACUGCAUCAAUAACAACAGAAACUGUGGCAACAACAACUGGUUCAACUGCAAUAACAACAACAGAAACUGCGGCAACAACAACAGAAACUGCGGCGACAACAACUGGUUCAACUGCAGUAACAACAACAGAAACUGCGGCUACAACAACUGGUUCAACUGCAUCAAUAACAACAGAAACUGCGGCAACAACAACUGGUUCAACUGCAAUAACAACAACAGAAACUGCGGCAACAACAACAGAAUCUGCAGCAACAACAACAACUGGUUCAACAACACCUGCUUCAACUGCGGCAACAACAACAACUGGUUCAACUGCAGCAGCAACAACAGAAACUGCGGCAACAACAACAGAAUCUGCAGCAACAACAACUGGUUCAACAACACCUGCUUCAACUGCGGCAACGACAACUGGUUCAACUGCAGCAACAACAACAGAAACUGCGGCAACAAUAACUGGUUCAACUGCCCCAACAGUAACAGAAACUGCGUCUACAACAACUGGUUCAACUGCAUCAAUAACAACAGAAACUGCGGCAACAACAACUGGUUCAACUGCAGCAACAACAACAGAAGCUGCAGCAACAACAACUGGUUCAACAACACCUGCUUCAACAGCAGCAACAACAACUGGUUCAACUGCGGCAGUAACAACACCUGGUUCAACUGCGGCAACAACAACAACUGGUUCAACAACAGUAACAACAACUGGUUCAACUGCAACAACAACACCUGGUUCAACAACAACACCUGGAUCAAAAACAGCAACAACAACUGGUUCAACAGCAGCAACAAUAACACCUAAUGCAACAACAACACCUGGAUCAACAACAACUGGUUCAACUGCGGAAACGACAACAGAAUCUGUGGCAACAACAACAAGUGGUUCAACAAUAGUAACAACAACUGGUUCAACUGCGUCAACAACACCAGAAACCGGAUCAUCAAGAACACCUGGAUCAACAACAACUGGUUCAACUGCGGCAACGACAACAGAAACUGCGGCAACAACAACAACUGGUUCAACUGCAUCAACAACAAUACCAGAAACUGUAUCAACAAAAACACCUGGUUCAGCGACAACUGGUUCAACAGCAGCAACAACAACACCUGGUUCAACAAAAACACCUGGCUCAACAACAACUGGUUCAACUGCAGCAACACCAACAGAAUCUGCGGCAACAACAACUGGGUCAACAGCGGCAACAACAACACCUGGUUCAACAGCAGCAGCAACAACACCUGGUUCAACAACAACACCUGGAUCAACAACAACUGGUUCAACAGCGGCAACAACAACACCUGGUUCAACAACAACAACUGGAUCAACAACAACUGGUUCAACUCCAAAAAACACAACACUUGUUUCAACAACAACUGGUUCAACACCAGCAACAACAACUGGUUCAACAACAGUAACAACAACUGGUUCAACUGCGGCAACAACAACACCUGCUUCAAUAACAACACCUGGAUCAACAACUACUGUUUCAACUGCGGAAACGACAACACAAUCUGCGGCAACAACAACAAAUAGUUCAACAACAGUAACAACAACUGGUUCAACUGCGGCAACAACAACGCCUGUUUCAACAACAACUGGUUCAACUGCUUCAACAACAACGCCUGUUUCAAAAACAACUGGUUCAACAGCAGCAACAACAACUGGUUCAACAACAGCAACAACAACUGGUUCAACUGCGGCAACAACGCCUGGUUCAACAACAACUGGUUCAACUCCAACAAACACAACACUUGUUUCAACAACAACUGGUUCAACACCAGCAACAACAACUGGUUCAACAACAGUAACAACAACUGGUUCAACAGCGGCAACAACAACACCUGUUUCAACGACAACUGGUUCAACACCAGCAACAACAACACCUGCUUCAAUAACAACACCUGGAUUAACAACUACUGUUUCAACUGCGGCAACGACAACACAAUCUGCGGCAACAACAACAAAUGGUUCAACACCAGCAACAACAACUGGUUCAACAGCAGCAGUAACAACAAAUGGUUCAACUGUGGCAACAACAGAAAAAACGACGAUGACGACGACGACGACGAGAACAACAACAACAACAACAACAACAACAACAACAACAACAACAACAACAACAACAACAACAACAACAGCAGCAGCAGUGGCGGUAGUUCGUACACCAGUUGUUGUUCUUGCAGCAGUUUUGGUUAAACCCUUUGUGCCUCAACUCAAAGAUAAAACUAGUCCAGAAUUUAUAGCACUUGCGACAGAAGUGGUAGUAGUGUAUGAAGUCAUCUAUAGAGCUCGAUAUGGUUUGCUUUUCAGCCGUGUUAUUGUCAUAGCAUUCAGACAAGCUGGGACCAGAACACGAGCAUCUGAUACUGAAGCAGAAGUGCAGGUUGUGUUUAACAACACAAUAACACCUGCACAAAUCCCAGAAGCUGAAGCUGUUCAACAAACCUUAGUUGAAGCGGUGUCUAACCCCAACAACACUUUCAACAUCAGUAUCAGUCCAGCAUCUGUCGUAGCAACCCAAAUAAACAUUUUUACAAAGCUGUUGCGGUUCGCAUCGGUUGGAGAGACAUUUACAGCUGACUUGCUGAUCUCAUCAUCUCCAGCAUUUAAAAAUAGAUCAUCACUGAUAGUGACAACACUUGAACCGAUCUACAAUAAAACAUUUUCUUCAUACAACUCAAUGGAAGUGACUGGAUUCCGAAAUGGAUCCAUCAUCACUGACAUCUACAUUCAGUUUGCAUCUACAUCAGCGCCAAAUAACACUGACAUUGAAAAUGUUCUGAUCAAUGCAGCUCCAAACAUAACAGCCUUCAACAUUACCAAUGUUGUUGUCAGUGACCCAGUGGCUUCAACUACAACAACAAUGACUGCACCUACAAACGCAACCACAGCAAACCUUACAAACACCACACCAGGAACAAAUACAACUACAGUGUCUACAACAGCUUCAAGUACACCUGUGAACGCUACAACACCAAUCAUCACUACCCCAACAAACGCAACCACAGUUUCUCCUACAACCACUACAACUGUAACAACUACAAUUGUUGAGGCUGUUACAACAAAGCAGUUGCAGUUCAGAGAUGUUGGAGCAACAUUUACACCUGACUUAGAGAACUCAUCAUCUUCAGCAUUUACAGAAAGAGCCAGACAGACAGUGUUAACACUCGAACCUUUCUACAAGACAACAUUUCCUUCAUUCCGCUCAAUGAGAGUGAUCAGAUUCAGGCAAUUUAUUUUUUACAUACUGAUGCAAUAUACCAAAUGUUUUAUGAUAGUUAUAAAUAUUUGCGAUAACUGAAUGCAAGUAAACAAUGUUUUCUAUUUUGCAGAAAUGGAUCCAUCAUCAGUGACGUUGAUAUUGACUUUGCAUCUAUAUCAGUGCCUAAUAACACUGAGAUUGCAAAUGUUUUGAUCAAUGCAGCUCCAAACAUAACGACCUUCAACAUUAGCAAAGAGUCUGUUAUUGUCAGUGACCCAGUGGUUUUACCUACAACUGUGAGCACUACAACACCAAUGAUGACUACCCCUACAAACGCAACCAUAGCAAAUCUAACAAACACCACACCAGGAACAAAUACAAGUACAGUGUCUACAACAGCUUCAACUACACCUGUGAAUGCUAUAACACCAAUGAUGACUACCCUUACAAACGCAACCACAGCAAAUCUUACAAACACCACACCAGGAACAAAUACAACUACAGUGUCUACAACAGCUUCAACUACACCUGUGAAUGCUACAACACCAAUGAUGACUACCCCUACAAACGCAACCACAGCAAAUCUUACAAACACCACACCAGGAACAAAUACAACUACAGUGUCUACAACAGCUUCAACUACACCUGUGAAUGCUACAACACCAAUCAUCACUACCCCAACAAACGCAUCCACAGUUACUCCUACAACCACUACAACUGUAAGAACUACAACUAUUGAGGCUGUUACAACAAAGCAGUUGCAGUUCAGAGAUGUUGGAGCAACAUUUACACCUGACUUAGAGAACUCAUCAUCUUCAGCAUUUACAGAAAGAGCCAGACAGACAGUGUUAACACUCGAACCUUUCUACAAGACAUUUCCUUCAUUCCGCUCAAUGAGAGUGAUCAGAUUCAGAAAUGGAUCCAUCAUCAGUGACGUUAAUAUUGACUUUGCAUCUAUAUCAGUGCCUAAUAACACUGAGAUUGAAAAUGUUUUGAUCAAUGCAGUUUCAAACAUAACGACCUUCAACAUUAGCAAAGAGUCUGUUAUUGUCAGUGACCCAGCGACUCCUACAACCACUUUGACUGCAACAACUACAACUACAGCGACUCCUACAACCACUACAACUGCAGCAACUACAACUGCAGCAACUGCAACUACAGCAACUCCCACAACCACUAAAGCUGUAACAACUACAACUGCUGAGCCAGUACAAAAAAAGGCAGUGCAAUUCAGAUCUGUUAAUGGGAUAUUUAUAACUGACUUGCUGACAUCAUCAUCCACAGCUUUUAAAGAACGAGCUUCACUGAUAGAGACAGCACUUAAACCUUUCUACCUGGCCAGAUUUCCUUCAUUCCGCUCCAUCAAUGUGACUGCAUUCAGUAAGGGAUCCAUUAUCAAUAACAUGGACAUUGGAUUUGCAAUGUCACUGGUCCCUAAUGCAAAAGAGAUUGCACAAGUUUUGAUUGAUGCAGCCAAGAUAACACCCUUCGACAUUGAUAUCAGUUCUAUUCUUGUGGACGGCAUAUUGUCACAUGGAGUGAGCCACAAGAUCAGUCUCCUCACUGCUUCCUGUAUGGUGCUGCUGUCAUGGCUCCUGUCAGGCCAGCAAUAACAUCUGCGCUGAUGCUCUUGUGAAAUAACUUGAGGAAAUGUCUCCUGUGACUGGGUAUGAAAAAGGACUUUGUUCCAACUGAAAAUCCACGAGGAGCUUCUGAUGAAGAGCAAUCAUACCAUGAUUUAGAAGUAGCUAAAACUGAAAUUAACCUUUAUGUUAUCUAUCAAUAUAAACUUUAACAUAAUUUCCAACAAAGGUGUCAUUGGUUGUCAAUUUAUAAUGUAAGUCCUGUGAUAAAGUCAUACUGUAAGUUAUUAAUAUCAAUGAGAUCAAGUUUUAAUCCAUGAAGCAUCUCCUCAGCUUCUGACUCUGAGAGUGAAAAAAAAUGAAAGUGAUAAUCAGGAAAUCAUCACCUCACCUGGCAUUCAUGAAAUAUAAGAUGUGUGAAAAUGUCCUCUUUGGUCACCUUUACCAGUCAAUAUUUAAAUAUAUUUCUUGUAUAUAUUGUAUUCUAUUAUUGUAUGUAUUCUGUUUGUAUUGUAUUGGAUAAUUAUGGUAAAAAUUCUAAGUGAUCCUGAUACACACAUUUAAAAUUAUUUAAAGAACUGUCCCUAUAAAAAAAUAUAAUAUUAAUAUCACCUUUUUCUUUCUGAAGCAGGUUCUUCACAAGUCUAUCAUGAUAAACUAAAGAAGCGUCAAUUAAAGACAUUGAACAAACCCUGCCUAUCUUGAUUUUUAAAUAUACUACUCUAAUCAACUACUCUAAUUUUUCUUUUCAAAAAAUUGAUUAGGAAAUACUAUCAUAGCACUCUUAAGACCCCUUCAUAGAUUUUUGAUACAAGUAAAACUAAAUCUAAUUCUAAUAAUU